AGGGACUUAGGAUAACAUUCAAACCAAAGGCCUUCAAAGCCUUAAACAAGAGACACACCUCUUAGCCCCUG
rnacentral:tRNA from 1 species